AGUGAUUUCACUCUAACAUGGUGUUUCUCAGGCUUCUUAUAACAAAGUUUGAAAUGUCCUGUAAAAUGGUCUUUUAUACUAUGAUUGACUUCAACUUUAUCAAUGUAUUUUAUUUCCUUGAGGUAAUUUGGUGCAAUAUGAUAGUGCCCUUUCAUAAAAAUACCUAAAAGCAACUUUCUUAUAAGAGAUCAUAUUGUGGGACCAUUUGGGGAUCAGGCCUGGUUGAUAAGAUAGCUUUUUAUAAACUUUUGUCUGGAAUUUGCAAUUGCUGAUAGAAAUCUAAGUCUAAAAAAAAAUGUAUACUGUGUUGGGUUUGCUGCUUUGGUCUUAAUGAAAUCCAAGUGCUUCUGCUAUAAAAGUAUCAAUGAAUUCUGUUAGUUUCAAGCCAUCAUCCAAAAUUACAAAAAUGUCAUCAAUAAACCUCACAUAGAACUUCAGAAAAGGUUGGCAAAAAAGACUGUUCUACAGAUGUUAACAAGAUUUCUGCAAGUGGACCUGCCAAUGUGCUCCUAUUGGCAUUCUUCUUGUCUAUUGGUAUAUUCUAUCCUUAAAAACAUAAUAUGAGUUAUAGCAUAUUAAAUAUGCUAUGUCCCUCAAUAAGUCAGCAGUAUUAUUUGCCUGCAGUACAUUUUCCAAUAAAAACCUCUAAAAAUCCAGGUAAGCAGGCUCUAGAUGGAAGGAAGGGUAAAGAUUAUCAAAAUCAUAUGUUGUAAGCCAGCUACCAUUUUUGAGAUGUAUUCCAAAUAAUCUCCUAAGCACUGAUGAGUUUAUCAUGGUUGCUCUGUCAGACUCAUUUAAAAUUGUAUUACACCAUUUAGUUUAGUUGAUCAUGGUAAUAAAAGACCAUUUUUGCAGGACAUUUUAAAUUCUGUUGGAGGAAGCCUGAUAAACUCCAGGAUGAAUCAACUUGAGCUAGCUGAUCUACAAACACUAGAUGGUUACUUAGCUGUGUUCUAUAAUUUGAAUAAAUUUAAUUUCAUUAAUAAAAUAGUUAAGAAACACAAUAAGAUCAUCACUGUUAAAAGACGGCAGACCAUUAUCAAUCUUGUAAGAAAUGAGAAAGACCUCUUAAAUGAUUUUUGGAGAAGGGAAGUAUAUAAAAUACCUGUGGAAAAUGCUAGAACUAACCAAAAGUCUGCAUAUUUUGAUGCAACUAAAUGGACCCUUACAUAAAGACUAGAUGAACUUAAGAGGAACAUUCAUAAUGAUUAAUUAAUGACAGCAUUAUCAGUGGAGGUUUACUCUAAUGAUCUGCAGAUAAGCUGGAAUCAGGCUAAAAUUAUUAGGCCAUUGAAUACACAGAACCAAGCCACAACUUCUGAAGUGCUAGAAAUAGUUACAAGGCAGACAACUGAGAACAUCUUAAAUAAAAAGCCCACAACUCUCCAUAGCAUGGAUGUACACUGUAGAGAAGAACUUACUCCCCAUUCCUAAUAAAAUGUAAUUUACUCUUAUACCAUGCU
rnacentral:lncRNA from 1 species